UGUCAUUCUUAUUUGUACUUAGUAACAGAAUUAUAAUAUGUCAGAACAGUUAACGGUUAGAAUGACAAUUAUAAAGGUAUAAAAUAAACAAAAGAUACUCUGAUAGGAUUGAAAAUAAAGCAGCAACUUCAUCUCGCUGGCAGAAAAUCAUCAUUUUCUGCCCGGUAACAGUCGCAUUGGUCUGAAAUUGACUAGUUUCGGUUGGCUCAACAGGCAUUGAAACUCGCAUUUUCAAUGCAGGCUAUGUGAAAAAUUUUUUUUAAUAGUAAAA